GUGAGUGUAGCUCAGUGGUAGAGUGCUUGCCUAGCAUGUGCAGGGACCUGGGUUUGAUUCCCAGCAUCAUA
rnacentral:tRNA from 1 species